rnacentral:pre_miRNA from 1 species
GAAAUACUCCUUCGUCUCAAAUUACUUGUUGCAGAAAUAGAUGCAUCUAGACGUAUUUUUAGGUCUAGAUACAUCCAUUACUAUCCAUUUAUGCGACAAGUAAUUCGGGACGGGGAGAGAGAAAA